AGAAUGGGAUCUUUCCCUGAGUUGAGGCUCCCAACCCCUGUGAACAUACCUAUACGUUGCCUCGGCGGAUCAGCCCGCGCCCCGUAAAACGGGACGGCCCGCCCGAGGACCCCUAAACUCUGUUUUUAGUGGAACUUCUGAGUAAAACAAACAAAUAAAUCAAAACUUUCAACAACGGAUCUCUUGGUUCUGGCAUCGAUGAAGAACGCAGCAAAAUGCGAUAAGUAAUGUGAAUUGCAGAAUUCAGUGAAUCAUCGAAUCUUUGAACGCACAUUGCGCCCGCCAGUAUUCUGGCGGGCAUGCCUGUUCGAGCGUCAUUUCAACCCUCAAGCUCAGCUUGGUGUUGGGACUCGCGGUAACCCGCGUUCCCCAAAUCGAUUGGCGGUCACGUCGAGCUUCCAUAGCGUAGUAAUCAUACACCUCGUUACUGGUAAUCGUCGCGGCCACGCCGUAAAACCCCAACUUCUGAAUGUUGACCUCGGAUCAGGUAGGAAUACCCGCUGAACUUAAGCAUAUAGUAAAGCGGAGGA
rnacentral:rRNA from 1 species